UACGAAGGGGGCUAGCGUUGCUCGGAAUUACUGGGCGUAAAGCGCACGUAGGCGGAUUGUUAAGUCGGGGGUGAAAUCCUGGAGCUCAACUCCAGAACUGCCUCCGAUACUGGGAGCCUUCGAGUCCGGGAGAGGUGAGUGGAACUGCGAGUGUAGAGGUGAAAUUCGUAGAUAUUCGCAAGAACACCAGUGGCGAAGGCGGCUCACUGGCCCGGUACUGACGCUGAGGUGCGAAAGCGUGGGGAGCAAACAGG
rnacentral:rRNA from 1 species